GAGUUAGGGAGGGAAGGGGUAACUAGUGACAGAGGGAGGGGUGACUAGGGACAGAGUGAGGGAGAUGGUGACUAGUGACAGUCACCACCUCUGUCACUAGUCACCACCUCCCUCCCUCUGUCACUGGUCACCCACUCCCUCCCUCACUCUGUCACCAGUCAUCCCCUUACUCUGUCACUAGUCACCCCUUCCUUCCCUCACUCU